rnacentral:rRNA from 1 species
UACGUAGGGAGCAAGCGUUGUCCGGAAUCAUUGGGCGUAAAGCGCGCGUAGGUGGCCUCAUAAGUCCGCUGUGAAAGUCAAAGGCUCAACCUUUGAAAGCCGGUGGAGUACUGUGAGGCUAGAGUACGGAAGAGGCGAGUGGAAUUCCUGGUGUAGCGGUGGAAUGCGCAGAUAUCAGGAGGAACACCAAUAGCGAAGGCAGCUCGCUGGGACGUUACUGACACUGAGGCGCGAAAGCGUGGGGAGCGAACAGG